CGGCAAAUCGUGCACUGGAACACUUGCCGUGAGCAUCGAAGAUGUGAAUGAUAAUGCGCCAGAAAUACGCCAAGACUAUGUGACAAUUUGCAAACCGAAGAUGGGGUACGCUGACAUUUCAGCUUUUGACGCCGAUGAGCCUAUCCACGGCGCUCCAUUUUACUUCAGCCUGGCAAACCCGUCUCCAGAGGUCAACAAAAUAUGGACCCUCUCCAAAGUUAAUGAGCACCUACUAUCUCCCAGGCACUAUUGCUGACCCUGGGGUGUGUAUAGAGAUUAGCAAGGAAGACAUGAUUCCGCACGUCUAAGAAGUCUUUCUGGGAGUAGAAGCAGGGACACUGCUACCUUUGUUAUAGUGCCUUUCAUGUGGUACUGUCAUCGUUUACAUUUCUCCUCCAACGUAUACACGAGUUUCUCAAGACAUUGCAGUCUAUUUUUGUAUUUCCAGUACCUGGCCCAGUGCUUAGUAGACUCUAACCGCUUAAUAAAUGUUUGUUGAAUCACUAA